rnacentral:lncRNA from 1 species
UCAAUAUCUUUCUACCGAUAUAUUUCUUUACUCAUCCUAAUGUGAGAAUAUAUGUCAGGAUAUAUGAAAAUAUUUAAGCAAUGAAAAACCUGGGGAAAGAAAAGAAAUGAAAGUCAACAGUGGGAGUAAUAUUUGCAGAAAGGAGAAAGUUAAUUUGAGCAAAAUGAAAUAAUUAAUACACUACAUGUUUCCUCUAUGUAAAAAUUAUACUAAAUAUCUUUUAGAUUAGUCAUGUUGCUUUGAGACUUUUCCAUGUUUCCUCUAGACAGCUGCCAAUGUUCGCAUGGUCUCUGAUGAAUAAACAUGCUGUGACUUGCUUCUAAGGAAACGCCUGUCAUGUUCCAGGGAAAAAUGACUUCUACACUCUUAAAUCAGGAAAACUGUACAAGUCUCAUUCAUUAGUGACAACGUCGAUUUUUCCUUAACGUUUCUAUUUCUGGAAUGCUCGUAUUCUCAUUAGGGCAUUUCUGCAUUCAGAUUAACUAAGAAAAUAAACUAUGUUGGAGGAACACUUAUGCUGGGGGGAAAAAUCUUGUACUACAUCAAACGAGUUUCCUACUUGAGAAACUCAACUAGCAUCCAGGUUACUCCUGAACUAUUUACUAAGACCAAGGUUAUUUUCAGGUUUUCUUCAUCUCUUGCAGAACUACCUGUUCUCAUUACUGUUUACUCAAACGCUUAACAAGGUAACUAUUAGCAUAUCUGGCAGGAAGACAUGCCUCAUUUAAUAUUAACUCACCAUGUGACAGCCCCCUUCCUCUCUUCUCAAACAUGUGAGGAUAAAAAGAAAAGUAGAGUUGUUUGCAAUCUGAUUUGCGCUGGGUUUUGGAACCAGCAAUUGGCCACAGGCACACACACCCCCAAUCAGAGGCGCGCACCCCGCUCGCUCCCGGAACUGUCAUGCGGGCUGACAGCUGGCACACCCUCCUGUCGCCCUCCACCCGCCUGCAGAAAGCCCACUCCCUACAGUCACCUUGACAUUGCUCACCUGCCUGGGCCUCAGCCCAUGACCAAGGAAACUUUUGCCCUCCCUCCCCAGGAGCUCACUUACAGGCCAUCUUCAAAGGUACUGCCUACCUGAACCUGCCUUGUCCCAAAGGACACACUUCAAUCUGGGGAGAGUUUAAAGUUGUAGACAUAUCCAUUUUCAUUUAAGGAAUAUGAAGAUCAGGGAGGCAAAAUAUAGAGAUAUAGAGAGGAAAAACUGAGAGAUGAUCAGAAAUUCAGACGCAUUCGGAAUGAGCACCCUUGACCAUACCAAGAACAAAGACUCUAUAAAAAUGUGAAGUCUUAUUAUUGUUCAUCCAUGUUCUACGUGGGAUCCACCCAAGACAUUGAAAACUGUACAGAACAGGGUGAAAUUGAAUCAGAUCAUUCUGUACUCCUAACAAGGUCCACCCCAUGAGAGACUUGCAGCAGAAUUAAUGACACUGUAUAUUUUCCUCUACUAACAACAACAAGAACAACAACAACAACAAUCUAGGAAAAUCAAAGGCAGCCCGACAUGGAAAAAAACACAAAAUGAAUAUUUGGAUUACAAAUAGUGUGAUGGGAAGAACACACUGCCAAAAGUCCACCUAGUAUGUUGAAAUUACUGUUUCUAGCACAUAUAAGAUUUGCUGCCAAUUUGUACUGACUUCUGAAAAAUACUUUAUCCAUUGUCUUCUUACAUCAGAAUCAACUCCCUAAAUUCUUCAGCACUGGCUUUGUAAACUGGUUUCUGGUCUUUGUUUCUGGUGAAUAACAAUAAGGCAAUGUAGAAGAAAGCAAGUCCCAUCAAAGGGAGCUCCAGUCUCUAUAGACUGAUAAAAAGGAGCCUCAGAACUUAAACCUCUGGAUCAGGAGAAUCAAAAAACAUCAUGCCUCUCUAUGAUACCCGCCCAAACUCUUUCAGCUAAACAGAAGCACUUUCAAAUAUACAAUUCCGGCAGAGUCUGCAUUUUUGUUGUAAGAGCCUCAUGUUUUUAGUCAGACACAUCCGGGAGUUGAGUGCUUUGGAUGACACAAAACAAAGGCUCCAUGUUGCCUGUCACACCACAAGCUAUUAAUGACAAGCAGAUCUGACCUCUUCCCCCAGCUCCUGCAUCCACUGAAGGCUCUGUCACUUCCUCACUCUCAGCUCACUUGUAUUCUGAUUCUGUUCUAUAGACAAAACCUUGGUUUACAUUAAUAUAUAAAGCUGCUCAGGAGAAUCCUUCUUAGGAAUCACUCUGAACAUUAAAACUGAUUCAUUUAAAAACGCACACCCACACAAAUGGGAAAAGCAGUCUUCGCUUGCGGAUUGGAAGAAUCAAUAUCAUUAAAAGAACUAUACUACCCAAAGCAAUCUACAGAUUCAACACUAUUCCUAUCCAACAUCAUUUUUUAAAUUUAGAAAAAAACUAUUAUGAAAUUCGUAUGGAAUGAGAAAAGCCCCAUUAGCUAAAACAACCCUGAAUAAAAAGAACAAAGCCAGAGGCAUCACAUUAUCUGACUUCAAACUAUAUUAUGAGGCUACAGUAACCAAAGAAGCAUCAUACUAGUACACAAACAGACACAUAGACCAAUGGAACAGAAUAGAGAAUCCAGAAAUAAAGCCACACACCUACAACCAUCUGGUCUUUGACAAAGUCGACAAAAAUAAGCAAUGGGGAGAGGAUUCCCUAGCCAAUAAGUGGUGCUGAGAUAACUGGCUAACCAUAUGCAGAAGAAUGAAACUAGACCCCUACCUUUUUCCAUAUACAAAAACUAACUUGAGAUGGAUUAGAGAUUUAAAUGUAAGACCUCAAACUAUAAAAAUCCUAGAGAAAACCUAGGAAAUACCCUUCCCGACAUUGGCCUUGGCGAGGAAUUUAUGGCUAAGGCCUCAAAAGCAAUCACAACAAAAACAAAGACUGACAAGUGGGACCUAAUUAAACUAAAAAGCUUCAGCACAGCAAAAGAAACUAUCAACAGAAUAAACAGACAACCUACAGAAUGGGAGAAGAUAUUUACAAACUCUGUAUAUGACAAAGUUCCAAUAUCCAGAAUCUGUAAGGAACUUAAUUUGACAAGCAAAAACCAAAUAACUCCAUUAAAAGGUGGGCAAAGGAUAUGAACAGACAUUUCCCAAAAGAAGAAGACAAACAAAUAGCCAAUGAACAUAUGAAGAAAUGCUCAACAUUACUAAUUAUCAGAGAAAUGCAAAUCAAAACCACAAUGAGAUACCAUCUCACACUAGUAGAAAUAGCGAUAAUUAAAAAGUAAAAACAAACAACAAACAAAAAACAGAUGCUUCCAGCCUGGGCAACGUAACUGGGACCCCAUCUCUACAAAAUAAAAAAAAAAUUAGCCACGCGUGGUGGUGCACACCUGUAGUCCCAGUUACUUAGGAGGCUGAGGUAGGAGGAUUGCUUGAGCCUAGAAGGUCAAAGUUGCAGUGAGCCAUGAUUGCACCACUGCACUCCAGCCUGGAUGAGAGAGCAAGACCCUGUCUUGAAAAAUAAAAAAAAAAAACAAAUGUUAGUGGGGCUGUGGAGAAAAGGGAACACUUAUACACUAUUGGUGGGAAUGUGAAUUAGUGCAGCCACUGUGGAAAGCAGUUUGGAGAUAUUUCAAAUAAAUUAAAACAGAACUACCAUUCAACCAAGGAGUCCCGUUACUGGGUACACACCCAGAGGAAAAUAAAUCACUCUACAAAAAAGUCACAUGCACUUGUAUGUUCACUGCAGCAGUACUCACAAUAGCCAAGACGUAAAAUCAACCUAGGUGCCCAUCAACAGUGGAUUGCAUAAAGAAAAUAUGGUACAUAUACACCAUGAAAUCCUAUGCAGCCAUAAAAAAGAAUGAAAUCAUGUCCUUUGCAGCUACAUGGAUGCAGCUUGGAGGCCAUUAUCCUAAGCAAAUUAACACAGGAACAGAAAAGCAAAUGCCAUAUGUUCUCACAUAUAAGUAGGAGCUAAACAUUGGGUACAUGUGGAUAUAAAGAUGGGAACAACAGACACUGGAACUGGGAAUACAGACUACUAAAGAAUGGAAAGAAGGAGGGGGCAAAGGUUGAAAAAAUACCUAUUGGGUUCUCUGCUCACUACCAUAGUAAUGACGGGAU